UGCAAUUGAGAGACAAUGACGUCCAUAGUGGACGUUACCCAAGGCACCUUGUCUGGGCUUUUGUACUAGGAGAUGACAUUGGCUGAGUCCCCCUCAAUAAUGAUUCUAUCAUCUCGAGGUUGCAGUUUAAUAAUCCCUUCUAUCAGAGCCCUCAACUCUAUCUCGUUAAUAUCGCAGAUAUGGGACCUUCCUUGAUAUUGCCAUACGACCACCUCAAUGGAAUCUCUUAGAAGACCUCUGUAACCUGCCAAGCCAUCUUCUAAUCUAAGACUUCUGUCAAAAUUAAGUUUAAGCCAACCUUCAGGAGAUCUAACCCAAGAGGCACUUCGAGAUUCCUGAAGACUAGAAGCUCCUUAAGAUGAGUGGAGAAAUGUCCUUG
rnacentral:lncRNA from 1 species